UACGUAGGCAGCGAGCGUUGUUCGGAAUUACUGGGCGUAAAGAGUGUGUAAGCGGUGCUCCCAGUCUGUUGUGAAAUCUCCCGGCUUAACUGGGAGGGUGCAGCGGAAACUAGAGUGCUAGAGGGUGGGAGAGGUAAGCGGAAUUCCUGGUGUAGCGGUGAAAUGCGUAGAUAUCAGGAGGAACACCUGUGGUGUAGACAGCUUACUGGACCACUUCUGACGCUGAGACACGAAAGCGUGGGUAGCAAACAGG
rnacentral:rRNA from 1 species